CCCUUAGAUGUCCUGGGCCGCACGCGCGCUACACUGAUGCAUUCAACGAGUUUUACCUUGGCCGAGAGGCCUGGGCAAUCUUUUAAACCUGCAUCGUGAUAGGGAUAGAUUAUUGCAAUUAUUAAUCUUGAACGAGGAAUUCCUAGUAAACGCAAAUCAUCAAUUUGCAUUGAUUACGUCCCUGCCCUUUGUACACACCGCCCGUCGCACCUACCGAUUGAAUGAUCCGGUGAAGCCUCGGGAUUGUGGCCAGUUCACUUUAUUGGGAGUUGGCUGCGAGAACUUGUCUAAACCUUAUCAUUUAGAGGAAGGUGAAGUCGUAACA
rnacentral:rRNA from 1 species